rnacentral:rRNA from 1 species
GUGAUAAGCAUUGUGAUGUGCGAGAUCCUGUGAACCAUUAGACUCCCGAGCGCACUCUGCACUUUCAGGAUCCCCUGAAAGUAAUCCAGCUCCAGGGUCAUGGGCUGUUUCCCACACAGUGGGCAUUACUCUGGGCAGGGUGAAGCAUCUUGGCUUAUGACCC